rnacentral:rRNA from 1 species
GAUGAACGCUGGCGGCGUGCCUAACACAUGCAAGUCGAACGGAGUCGUUUUGGAAAUCUCUUCGGAGAUGGAAUUCUCGACUUAGUGGCGGACGGGUGAGUAACGCGUGAGCAAUCUGCCUUUAAGAGGGGGAUAACAGUCGGAAACGGCUGCUAAUACCGCAUAAAGCAUUAAAUUCGCAUGUUUUUGAUGCCAAAGGAGCAAUCCGCUUUUAGAUGAGCUCGCGUCUGAUUAGCUAGUUGGCGGGGUAACGGCCCACCAAGGCGACGAUCAGUAGCCGGACUGAGAGGUUGAACGGCCACAUUGGGACUGAGACACGGCCCAGACUCCUACGGGAGGCAGCAGUGGGGAAUAUUGCGCAAUGGGGGAAACUCUGACGCAGCAACGCCGCGUGAUUGAAGAAGGCCUUCGGGUUGUAAAGAUCUUUAAUCAGGGACGAAACAAAUGACGGUACCUGAAGAAUAAGCUCCGGCUAACUACGUG